rnacentral:tRNA from 1 species
AGACUUGACACCAAAGAUACCUCAGCUGUGGAAUGAGCGGCAGUACUCCCAGGU